ACAAAGACUCAGAGACUCGCCUGCUCUUCCACGACCAGUGAGGAGCUCAGCUAGGACUGGAAUCCAUGUCUAAAUCCCUGUUCAGGUGGUGUACCACGUUGACUGAUUUACCAAUGUUGAACCAUCCUUGUGUUCCUGGAAUAAAUUGAACUUGAUCAAGCAAGCCAUUGAAUGCUGGCCU